rnacentral:sRNA from 1 species
GCCUUUCGCCUUUCGUCUCUCCCUCCGCCUGCAAAGCGAACAAGCCAAAACCCCCGGAGAGACAUCUCCGGGGGUUUUGGCUUGUUAUGU